rnacentral:rRNA from 1 species
UACGUAGGGGGCAAGCGUUGUCCGGAAUUAUUGGGCGUAAAGAGCUCGUAGGCGGUUCGUCGCGUCGGCUGUGAAAUCCCGAGGCUCAACCUCGGGUCUGCAGUCGAUACGGGCGGACUGGAGUUCGGCAGGGGAGACUGGAAUUCCUGGUGUAGCGGUGAAAUGCGCAGAUAUCAGGAAGAACACCCGUGGCUAAGGCGGCUCUCGUAGUACGGUACUGACGCUGAGACGCGAAAGCGUGGGGGAGCGAAACAGG